CUUGGUGGUAGUAGCAAA
rnacentral:ncRNA from 3 species